GGUCGUCUGCGGCCCAGCCUCUGGCAGAACAGGCUGGAGACCGCAUGUUUCCACACGCUGCUGGAGUAGCUUCCAAAACCGAGGGAACCACCUAAGAAAGGGCCCCUGGAGAAGAGCCACAGCUAACAACUGUAAUCAAGCUGAGGAGGUUUGUAGGCUAGAAGAGAGAAACCAUUGGGUCACCCAAGUCUUGUCAAGGAUUUGAAGAAGGCUGUAUUCUCAUUGAUUCAUAUAUACAUGAGCAUGUGACAGAGUGACUGCCAGACAACUGGACUAUUAAAAGAAGCCUGAAGUCUUGGAAAUGAAGAAAUUCAUUUUCUAAAAGCUGGGACAUUUGAAGGCUGAACAUGUUCAACCAGGCAAGAAAGGAAGAUUUGUAUCUUCUAUUGUGUUUUUUUGGUUACCUGAAUCUGCCCCAUUCCAGAAAAGGAUAUUUACUACUGCAAAAGGUGAUGGAGAAUUUCUGUUUAAAGGUCAGAAAUGCUUGUGCUUUGGGGAGUGGAGGUCACAUGGUUCUGCAGGUUCGUGUCACUGGUGCUGUUGUGAAUGGGCAGACACAGCUCUCCAGGCCAGAUCAGCCGGAGGAGUUCCUGCGAUGGAGGAGGGCAGGGUCUCUGGCCUUGACCAUCUGAGGAGGGACUGGCCCCAGGCAGAUGAUUGGAAUUCUUUCUAUGGACAGUGCAAUUGGCUGAGGGUCAGUCUGAGGGGCAGAACCAUCUCUGGGAGAUGGAGGGAAAUCCAGGAUGGUCAGUAUUAUUGGAGUCCAAGAAAUGCUGAGUCAGAUUUGGAGAUGGGGAGAGGACUGGAUCACUCAGGGGAAGGAAAUGAGUAGUUAUGACACAUCCCUUUAAGUAAUAUUCCUAAAUCCUGGGUCACUUUGUUCUUUCACUCUAUGGCUGGCUGUUUUGAGGAGGUCAGUUAAGUAUUUGGGUUUCUUUUAAUAUAGUUAUGAAAACACAUUUCUUUUAAGAAGAGAGGCAAAAACCACUACAAUAUUGUAAAGUAAUUAGCCUCCAACUAAUAAAAUCAGUUCUUUUCUCUCUAGGAGGCAAUUAUUACUUCUUUGGAGCCAGAUGGUCUGGGCUUGAAUCUUGACCUUGGGUAAAUUACUAUACCUCAGUUUCCUCAAUAGUAAAAUGAAGAAAGUCAUAGUAGUUACCUGAUAGAGUUGUAGGAGCUGUAGAGUAGUGAAAUAAUCUGUAAAAUAUUUAGUCAGUGUGAACUACCCUUACCAUUGAUGUAAGGAAGCUAUGAGGAAAUCAGUGCAGGGUAGAACCAAUGACCCACCCAACAUCGCGUGUCUGCCCCAGUCAGCAGGCUGGCAUUGCUGUGUGCAUGUGUGUAUAGCAGAUGGCUCCCAAAUCCCCACCCCUGGGCUGGGAGGCACUGCUGUGAAAUGAAAUGAAGUAGAAAAGCAUCAGCGGGACAUGAGACCACAUGUUUCCUGAAUAAAGGACAGACUGGGUGUACUCUGUGUUUGUACAGGGGACGUGGAAAGUGACAUUAUCAAAUACUUCUCCAUGACCUGGGUUAUUUUUUGUGUGUUUGUUUUUGUUGAAGAAUUGGAUAGGUUAGGUAGGAUAGAGGGAGGGAAUACUUAGAAUGGUUUGGUGAAAACGGUCCAUUGUUUCACAUUUAGCUGUUUGUUUCUGAAGCAUCAUAAAUUAUCCUACUUGAAGAUUGCCCAGAUGAUUAAGUUACAUAACAUGGGGAGAUGCUUUUCAUAAAGUUUAAAUUACUGCAUAUACUAAAAGGUAUUUGUGUGAUUAUUUUUAUCAUCUUGAUGAGCUUGUAUCUUGUAAUGUGCUCUUAUAAUCUGAUUAUAAUUUACCUGAGUAAAUUAUAUAUAAUUUAUAAUAUGAUAUAUAUUUUAUAGCUUAUACAUUUUUUAUAAUUUAUAUAUAACAUUUAUAUAUAAUCUUAUAAUUUACCUGAGUAGUCUAAGAUGCAACAU